rnacentral:tRNA from 1 species
GCCUACUUAGCUCAAUAGGCUAGAGCAUUGGUUUUGUAAACCAAGGGUUAUCAGUUCAACUCUGAUAGUGGGCU